rnacentral:lncRNA from 1 species
UUUCCUGGCACUCGGCAAGUUUCUCUGCAGCAGCUGUUAUCUCCAUCUCCUGUUAGAGAAAUUAUGUUUAGAUAUUGUUUUGGCAUUGAGAAAUAUAAUCUUUUUUUAAUUAUACUUAACUAAUAAGUACUAAUUUCAAUAAGAAGACAGGAUCAAUGUAUAAAAGAGAAAACAAAUUGGUCGAGUGAUAAGUGAUAAUAACUAAUUGAAAUUAAAAUACCAACAAACCUGUUUUAUCUUCGCAUCUGCAUUUGCAUCAGGUUCCGAACAUAUUAGGCCUUUUACAUUCCUGUAUUAAAAACAGAUAAUCUUUAAUCCUGUUAAUAUGGUGUGUGAUUGUGUAUGUCUACAUAUACAUAUAUAGUUAUAUACUUAUAAAUAGAGAAAGACCAUCCAAUUUUUUUGCAGGUCAUUUUGAUGCUAACCUUUCCAUUUGCUUUUGCAGAUCUUUGUAUUUUUCUAAAUCUUCCUGAUGUGCAGACACUUCAUUUUUAAGUUCAAUUUCAAGCGUAUCAAUUUUUGACUGGAGAAAGCUAAUUUCUGUUUCUAGGUCAUUUGAGCGUGAUUCUAGUAAUCGGUAAGAUUCUGCCAUACAUUUCAAUUGAGUCUCGGCCAAGCUAUUAGACUUCUGAGAACCAGUAAAUUGUGAUUCAAGGUCCUGAAGAUUUUGCUCUGUUUCAACCAACCGUAACUUUGUCUUUUCUAAACUUUCAGUACAUUUAGCAAGUUCAUCUGCCAAAUUGUCCUUCUCAAUUUUCAACAGAUCAAACUCCUCCUGCGAAUAAUUUAUUAAUGAUCCCUUCAUUUCAG